UUCCAAUGAGGAAAGCAGUACCUGUCUUACUGUCUGUCCAGGUGCCAGAACCUGCAAAGGUGAACCCACUGGUGCCGGCAGCAUGAGAGGAGGAGAGCUUGUUCCAAAAGGAAUAGUCUGAUGGGAU
rnacentral:snoRNA from 1 species